rnacentral:tRNA from 1 species
CGGGAUGUAGCGCAGUUGGCUAGCGCACUUGAAUGGGGUUCAAGAGGUCGAGGGUUCAAAUCCCUCCGUCCCGACCA